CCUACGGGAUGCAGCAGUGAGGAAUAUUGGUCACUGGGCGCUAGCCUGAACCAGCCAAGUAGCGUGAAGGAUGACUGCCCUAUGGGUUGUAAACUUCUUUUAUAUGGGAGUAACGUCCAGUAUGUAUACUUCUUUGCAUGUACCUUAUGAAUAAGGAUAGGAUAACUCCGUGCCAGCAGCCGCGGUAAUUCGGAGGAUACGAGCGUUAUCCGGAUUUAUUUGGUUUCAAGGGAGCGUAGGCGGGUUGUUAAGUCAGUUGUGAAAGUUUGCGGAUCAACCGUAAAAUUGCAGUUGAUACUGGCAUCCUUGAGUACAGUAGAGGUAGGCGGAAUUCGUGGUGUAGCGGUGAAAUGCUUAGAUAUCACGAAGAACUCCGAUUGCGAAGGCAGCCUGCUGGACUGUAACUGACGCUGAUGCUCGAAAGUGUGGGUAUCAAACAGGAUUAGAUACCCUGGUAGUC
rnacentral:rRNA from 1 species